rnacentral:rRNA from 1 species
AAUUAAUACAAAUAAAAUUUAUUAUUUAAAGUUAAAAUUUAUUAAUUAAUUUAUAAUUAAAUUUUUUAGGUUAAAUUUUAAAUUUAAAAAAUUAUUAAAAAAUAAAAAUUUUAAGCUUAAAAAUUUUUAAAAUAAACUAGGAUUAGAUACCCUAUUAUAAAAACCUUAAAUAAAAAAAAUAGAGUAGUAAUAGUUAUGUUCUUGAAACUUAAUAAAUUUGGCGGUAUUUUAAUCUAAUCAGAGGAACUUGUUUUAUAAUUGAUAAUCCUCAUUUUAUCUUACUUAGUUUAUUAGUUUGUAUACCAUCGUCAUAAGAAUCUCUUAAAAAAGGAAAAAUUUUCUAAAAAAUUAAAUAGUUAAAAUGUCAGAUCAAGGUGCAGCUUAUAAUUAAGAAAAAAUGAGUUACAAUAAAUUUAUUUAAAUGGAUUUAAAAAUGAAAUUUUUUAAUGAAAUUGGAUUUGGUAGUAAAAUAAACGAAAAAAUUUAUUUGAUAUAAGUUCUAAAAUAUGCACAUAUCGCCCGUCGCUCUCGUUAUUUAAAAUGAG